rnacentral:rRNA from 1 species
UACGGAGGGUGCAAGCGUUAAUCGGAAUUACUGGGCGUAAAGGGUGCGUAGGCGGUUGUUUAAGUCUGUCGUGAAAUCCCCGGGCUCAACCUGGGAAUGGCGAUGGAUACUGGACAGCUAGAGUGUGUCAGAGGAUGGUGGAAUUCCCGGUGUAGCGGUGAAAUGCGUAGAGAUCGGGAGGAACAUCAGUGGCGAAGGCGGCCAUCUGGGACAACACUGACGCUGAAGCACGAAAGCGUGGGGAGCAAACAGG